ensembl:lncRNA
GGGCAAAGGCAGUUCAGUUUCAGAUGCAGAGCAGCGGGAAGCAGCUGGGCUCACUUUCGCUAACAGAUUUUGGCGCCAACGUGAGGCUGUGCUCUCGCGAUAUCUGGCUCCUGGGGGUUUCUCCAUUGGUGCUGCUGCCGUGACGACGUGCUAGGAAGGCUGUGAGGAGCCUCGCUGGCCCCAGGAAGAGGUUUGGGGAGGAUAUUCCUAGCAGCUGCCUAAAGCAUUGGUUUCGGGGGUCCUUCCUGCUUCUCCUCUGCUCAGCACUGGCUGCCCAUAUGUGCUUUUCCUUGGUGGAAUGAGAAGACACCUCUGGACAAGCUGACGAGCUCCCAGACCCAAUCCAUACGGACUGUAGCCCGCCAGGCUCCUCUGUCCACGGACUCUCCAGGCAAGAAUACUGGAGUGGGUUGCCAUGCCCUCCUCCAGGGGAUCAUCCCCAUCCAGUGAUCGAACCCAUGUCUCAUGUCUCCAGCAUUGGCAAAAAUAGAGAAAAAAGAAGACCAUAUGAAGACAUAGCAAUGGUGAGACACAUCGAAAAAAUACCAUGCUGAGGAUGCAAGCAGAGAUUGGAGUAAUGUAUCAACACAGCAGGGAACACUAGGGGUUGCUGACAACUGCCACCAACUAGGAGCAGACAAGGAAGGGCUCUCCCUACUGCCUGCAUGGCCCUGCCAGCACCUGACUUCAGACUUCUGGCCUCUGGCCUUCUGAUGAAUUCUCUACAGUGAGAGAAUAAAGUUCUGUUAUUUUAAGCCACCAAAAAUAAAAUAAGAUUAAAAAAUAUAUAAAAUUAAAUAGAGAAGAUAAAAUGUAAACUAACAAAAUAUAAAUAAAAAUAGAAGCAAAAUAAAAUACUAAUGAAGCAGUCAUAUAGCCAUCAGUAGUAUUCAUCUUUACAUGCAUAGUUAUGUGGUCAACCAGUUGCUCUCAGAAAUUAUGAACUAUGAAAAGAACAAAUCAGCUGUCCAUAUUUAGGCAAUUAAUGUGUCCAAGUGGAGGCUUGUCCUGUUCAAAUCAAAAUAUCUACUUGGAAAUAUAAAAAUGUUAUUGAAGCUCCUUUUGGAAAUCAAGGCCUAGGGUGAGAAUGUGGGAAUGAGAGUCAGACUUUCUGUCUUGCAGAGG